rnacentral:misc_RNA from 1 species
AAAAUGAAGCCGGGAAACCGGUCCUUCUAACCCUUGAUUAUCUUAAUUUGUUGCUUUGGUGGGCCGCGCAAGCACUGGCUUCGGCUGGUUAGUGCCCACCAGAGGACCACAACUCUGUAAUAAAUGUCGUCUGAGUACUAUAAAAUAGUUA